GACGAACGCUGGCGGCGUGCUUAACACGUGCAAGUCGAACGGACAGGCCCUGCUUUUGUGGGUUGCUCGAGUGGCGAACGGGUGAGUAACACGUGAGUAACCUGCACUUGACUUUGGGAUAACUUCAGGAAACUCGGGAUAAUACCCGAGAGGAGAUCCUGCACCAUGGUGGGGGAUAGAGAGUUUCGGCGGUUGGGGCUGGACUCGCGGCUUAUCAGCUUGUUGGUGGGGUAGUGGCUUACCAAGGCUUUGACGGGUAGCCGGCCUGAGAGGGUGACCGGCCACAGUGGGACUGAGAUACGGUCCAGACUCCUACGGGAGGCAGCAGUGGGGAAUAUUGCACAAUGGGCGGAAGCCUGAUGCAGCAACGCCGCGUGCGGGAUGACGGCCUUCGGGUUGUAAACCGCUUUCGCCUGUGGCGAAGCGUGAGUGACGGUAAUGGGUAAAGAAGCACCGGCUAACUACGUG
rnacentral:rRNA from 1 species